AAUAGAUACCCGGGUAGUCCAUGCCGUAAACGUUGGGCGCUAGAUGUGGGGACCAUUCCACGGUUUCCGUGUCGCAGCUAACGCAUUAAGCGCCCCGCCUGGGGAGUACGGCCGCAAGGCUAAAACUCAAAGGAAUUGACGGGGGCCCGGCACAAGCGGCGGAGCAUGCGGAUUAAUUCGAUGCAACGCGAAGAACCUUACCAAGGCUUGACAUAUACGAGAACGCUGCAGAAAUGUAGAACUCCUUGGACACUCGUAUACAGGUGGUGCAUGGUUGUCGUCAGCUCGUGUCGUGAGAUGUUGGGUUAAGUCCCGCAACGAGCGCAACCCUCGUCCUAUGUUGCCAGCGGUUCGGCCGGGAACUCAUAGGAGACUGCCGGGGUCAACUCGGAGGAAGGUGGGGAUGACGUCAAAUCAUCAUGCCCCUUAUGUCUUGGGCUUCGCGCAUGCUACAAUGGCCGGUACAAAGGGCUGCAACACCGCAAGGUGGAGCGAAUCCCAAAAAGCCGGUCUCAGUUCGGAUUGAGGUCUGCAAC
rnacentral:rRNA from 1 species